AUAAUAAUGCUUGACUCACAUCUUAAAGAACUUUGGAUUAACCAAGCAGCCUAAUGCACAUAGAAAUGAACACCAGCAUCACCCAGAAUAUUUAAGACUCGAAGAAGGCAAAGAUCAUUCUAACAAUACCCCAAGAAUCAAGCUCAAAAUGUCACAAACUGAAGAAUUCAAUCAUCUGCCACACACCGCCCAAACUAUUCUCUACUGUAUGAAGAAAACUAGAUUGUUCAAUACUUUCAUCAGUCCUACUAGUGGUCCCAUAAUUCAAAUAGAUCUCAACUUUCAAGUGAUAGAGACUUGUAUACACCAACUUCAACAAGUUGUCCCUGGGUUCUUGCGUGGAAAUUAAUAUUGAAUUUGCUUGUAAGUCAGUAACAAAUACUUAACAAACAAGCUAACCCCUGUCAUAGACACAUAAUCUGAAAACAGAAUGAACAAAUCAAAAUGGGCCAUAAGCAGAAAAUUUUUCUACCAAAAGAAUAAAUAGAUGCAAAGUUUGUUGAAAUUGCAGAUAAUUGGGGCUCGAAUUUGCUAAAAAUGGAAAUUUUUUCACCAAUAAAAAAGCCAUAUAUGCUCACUAUUUCUAAUGCUGCUCGGAAAACUUGUUGAAGCGAAAUGCUCGAAAAAACAGGGGAUAGUAUGGAAAAGUGAGAAUAUUUUUAACACUUAUCAUCAAACAAACAAUAGUCAAAAUUUUGCCCCUUUCUUUUUCAUCCAUUUUCUUAGCAACCAAACAAAAUUUAAACAUAUAUGCAUUCAUAUAAGAAAUGGCUAAAGUUAUAGACCUGUUGAACAAGGCUAUUGAUUUCGUUAGGCGUCAUAAGGUCAGAGAAGUCGAGAUCAACGACGAUGUUCUGGCCGUGUUCUUUGGCAUUGGUAAGUCUCUGGACCUUCUUCUCCCUCUNNNN
rnacentral:lncRNA from 1 species